AUCCGACUGACGAGUCCCAAAUAGGAAGAAACGCGCGUCUUGGAU
rnacentral:hammerhead_ribozyme from 1 species